UGGGGUGUGACUCUGUAGUAGAGCAUUUGCCAGGCAUGCAUGAGGCCCUGGGUUUGAUUCCCAGCACCACAC
rnacentral:tRNA from 1 species